UACGUAGGGGGGCAAGCGUUGUCCGGAAUCAUUGGGCGUAAAGAGCGUGUAGGCGGCUCGAUAAGUCCGCUGUGAAAGUCCAGGGCUCAACCCUGGAAGGCCGGUGGAAACUGUCGGGCUAGAGUCCGGAAGAGGCGAGUGGAAUUCCCGGUGUAGCGGUGAAAUGCGCAGAUAUCGGGAGGAACACCAAUGGCGAAGGCAGCUCGCUGGGACGGUACUGACGCUGAGACGCGAAGGCGUGGGGAGCAAACAGG
rnacentral:rRNA from 1 species